rnacentral:rRNA from 1 species
UACAGAGGUCUCAAGCGUUGUUCGGAUUCAUUGGGCGUAAAGGGUGCGUAGGCGGCGCGGUAAGUCGGGUGUGAAAUCUUGGAGCUUAACUCCGAAACUGCAUUCGAUACUGCCGUGCUUGAGGACUGGAGAGGAGACUGGAAUUUACGGUGUAGCGGUGAAAUGCGUAGAUAUCGGAAGGAACAUCAGUGGCGAAAGCGACUUCCUGGACCAAUACUGACGCUCAUGUGCGAAAGCGUGGGGAGCAAACAGG